ACAAGCAUGGGGAUGCUUUUUAUAUCAGCUGAAAUCGAGUAGGAAAGUAUGAGAAAUUAAUUUGAAAAUAGACCAAGCCCAUGAAAAUAAAAGAGCAGAGCGUAGAUGUGUUUUAAGAGCAAAUAGCAUGGUUUAGAGAGAUAUGUAUGAGAGUAGAAGAAGAUGAAUAGAUUUGGGUUUAGAGAGAUAUGAAAGAAGAAGAAGAUGAACAGAUUUGGGUUUGGAGAGAUAUGAGAGAAGAAGAAGAUGAAGGAUGAGAGGUGAGAGGAGAAGAAGAACAGAUUUGGGUAUGGCUUAGAAGGAUGAGAGGUGAGAGGAGAAGAAGAAUAGAUCCGCAGGAGUUGGAUAAGAAUUGGGAUGAAAUGCUGCUACCAUUAGAUCCAUAGGAUUUAUUCAUUUAAAAUCUAAAGGCCCAGAUUGAUUCGUCCCGUUUUGUCCCUUAAAUUGUGUCCCGCAUGUGAGCAGCCCUGUAUACAUACAUACAUCUAAAGACGGAGCACUGUUCAUUCAACUGUUCCUCGACACUGUUCAUUCGAAUUGGCGGUUUUGCCCUCGAUUGAAAUUUUUUUGUUGCCAACUGACCUGGAUAUAUCGCUCUUCCCGUUGUUUUCAUCGUUCUUCUACACUCCUAUAGUCAUCAUUUUCAGUUAUCAAGAACGAGAGAGAGAGAGAGAGACAUAGAGAGGGACAUCGGAGGCAAAUCCGUAAAACAUAGAGUCCUCGCCCAGUGAAGCCAAUUGAAUCCGAUAAUUUCAAGCUUGGGUCAUCUAAUUCUCAGAAGAAGGAAAAAAAAAAAAAAAAGAACAAGAAGAGGAAUAAGAAAAGGAAGAAGAAGAGGGAAAUCGAGUAAAUUGAUCAUCCCAGGGAUUUCCAUAAGCAUAUCAAAAGAGGCAGCUAAUACAGUUCGCGUAGAAUCUUAGAACUUAGAAAAGAGCACAUCAGUUGAUAGCAGAAAAGAAAGAUAUUCAAGGGAGGAUUGGCAAAGAACAAGCGGUUCUUUGCUUUGCUCAGCUCACUGGCAUUGGUUACAAUUAUGAGUUCAAUUGCGUCUGAAUUUGGGUUUGUUUCUGUUGACAACUACAGAUGCAGAGAGGGAAACUCUAUGUUGGAUAUUAUGUGGCUAUGAAGGGGUUCUCUGCUUUGCUUAUCAGCGUUGCAACAUUUCUCCCAUGUUGUGAGAGUCAUGGAUAAAUGUUGCUUCAGAGAAUAAAGAUGGUUUUUCCUUUUCACAGAGACGAAGGAGCUGGUGAUAGUUUUUCUUGGAGAAAUUGAGCUCAUUUGAACAAAUAGGAAUAUCCGAUUGAGCUGGCACCCAUUUGAUCAAAUUGGGGGAUUUGAUUGAGCAAUCAGAGAUCUUUGAAGGAUUGAGCUCCGGUGUGAUUGUGGAAUCCCUGAAGGUGGUUAGCUUGCAAGGAUUUGCCUCAAUUUUGGAGCCUAACCUCUGCAGAAUUGCACGAUAUCGGCAUAUUGCUUUUACUCCAGUCUGGCAAUGAGAAUGAGGUAUCAUUUAAUUGUGAAAGAAAGCUUUGGAGGAGAACAUAAUUGUGUAUCUGGAAACUGGUUGUGGAAAGACCUAAGUAGCCGUGUUGCUUAUGUAUGAACCAGUUGAUACUCAAACCUCAGAAGAACAUGUGUGCUAAAUCCU